rnacentral:rRNA from 1 species
GAUGAACGCUGGCGGCGUGCCUAAUACAUGCAAGUCGAGCGAACAGACGAGGAGCUUGCUCCUCUGACGUUAGCGGCGGACGGGUGAGUAACACGUGGAUAACCUACCUAUAAGACUGGGAUAACUUCGGGAAACCGGAGCUAAUACCGGAUAAUAUAUUGAACCGCAUGGUUCAAUAGUGAAAGACGGUUUUGCUGUCACUUAUAGAUGGAUCCGCGCCGCAUUAGCUAGUUGGUAAGGUAACGGCUUACCAAGGCAACGAUGCGUAGCCGACCUGAGAGGAUGAUCGGCCACACUGGAACUGAGACACGGUCCAGACUCCUACGGGAGGCAGCAGUAGGGAAUCUUCCGCAAUGGGCGAAAGCCUGACGGAGCAACGCCGCGUGAGUGAUGAAGGUCUUCGGAUCGUAAAACUCUGUUAUUAGGGAAGAACAAAUGUGUAAGUAACUAUUCACGUCUUGACGGUACCUAAUCAGAAAGCCACGGCUAACUACGUG